rnacentral:misc_RNA from 1 species
CGGCAUUCAUCCAUUCAACAAUUAGAUCGCUCUAAAUUCUUCCUUUUCUUCGCUAUCUAGCUUUAUAAAUCUCGGAUUUACGAACAAUUUCGCUAUUGAUUGCUUGAUUUGAGAGCAAAUCGGUAUUAGUCAAUGCCUUUUUAUUGAUUUUGAAAAUGAAAAAUGUAAGCUAUCAUUUUCAAAUAAUUGAAAAUCUCUGAAAGUAACACUAUACCAUAUUUUGAUUGAAACUUGCAUCCUUCUGAAAGUGUAGGCUGAAAAUGAAGCAAAAAGCGUG